rnacentral:rRNA from 1 species
GGGCGCGUAGGCGGCCGAUCAAGUCAGAUGUGAAAGUCCUGGGCUUAACCUGGGGACUGCAUUUGAUACUGAUUGGCUUGAAUUCGGGAGAGGAUAGCGGAAUUCCCAGUGUAGAGGUGAAAUUCGUAGAUAUUGGGAAGAACACCGGUGGCGAAGGCGGCUAUCUGGACCGACAUUGACGCUGAGGCGCGAAAGCGUGGGGAGCAAACAGGAUUAGAUACCCUGGUAGUCCACGCCGUAAACGAUGAGUGCUAGACGCUGGGGGGCUUGCUCUUCGGUGUCGCAGCUAACGCAUUAAGCACUCCGCCUGGGGAGUACGGUCGCAAGAUUAAAACUCAAAGGAAUUGA